rnacentral:rRNA from 1 species
UCCAGGAUGGGAUCAUGAGUUCACAUGUCCGCAUGAUUAAAGGUAUUUUCCGGUAGACGAUGGGGAUGCGUUCCAUUAGAUAGUAGGCGGGGUAACGGCCCACCUAGUCAACGAUGGAUAGGGGUUCUGAGAGGAAGGUCCCCCACAUUAGAACUGAGACACGGUCCAAACUCCUACGGGAGGCAGCAGUGAGGAAUAUUGGUCAAUGGGCGAUGGCCUGAACCAGCCAAGUAGCGUGAAGGAUGACUGCCCUAUGGGUUGUAAACUUCUUUUAUAAAGGAAUAAAGUCGGGUAUGCAUACCCGUUUGCAUGUACUUUAUGAAUAAGGAUCGGCUAACUCCGUGCCAGCAGCCGCGGUAAUACGGAGGAUCCGAGCGUUAUCCGGAUUUAUUGGGUUUAAAGGGAGCGUAGAUGGAUGUUUAAGUCAGUUGUGAAAGUUUGCGGCUCAACCGUAAAAUUGCAGUUGAUACUGGAUGUCUUGAGUGCAGUUGAGGCAGGCGGAAUUCGUGGUGUAGCGGUGAAAUGCUUAGAUAUCACGAAGAACUCCGAUUGCGAAGGCAGCCUGCUAAGCUGCAACUGACAUUGAGGCUCGAAAGUGUGGGUAUCAAACAGGAUUAGAUACCCUGGUAGUCCACACGGUAAACGAUGAAUACUCGCUGUUUGCGAUAUACGGCAAGCGGCCAAGCGAAAGCGUUAAGUAUUCCACCUGGGGAGUAC